rnacentral:rRNA from 1 species
GAUGAACGCUGGCGGCGUGCCUAAUACAUGCAAGUCGAGCGAACGGACGAGGAGCUUGCUCCUCUGACGUUAGCGGCGGACGGGCGAGUAACACGUGGAUAACCUACCUAUAAGACUGGGAUAACUUCGGGAAACCGGAGCUAAUACCGGAUAAUAUUUUGAACCGCAUGGUUCAAUAGUGAAAGACGGUUUUGCUGUCACUUAUAGAUGGAUCCGCGCUGCAUUAGCUAGUUGGUAAGGUAACGGCUUACCAAGGCAACGAUGCAUAGCCGACCUGAGAGGGUGAUCGGCCACACUGGAACUGAGACACGGUCCAGACUCCUACGGGAGGCAGCAGUAGGGAAUCUUCCGCAAUGGGCGAAAGCCUGACGGAGCAACGCCGCGUGAGUGAUGAAGGUCUUCGGAUCGUAAAACUCUGUUAUUAGGGAAGAACAUAUGUGUAAGUAACUGUGAACAUCUUGACGGUACCUAAUCAGAAAGCCACGGCUAACUACGUG